UCUUCUACUCAGACGAGAUCAUCCUGUCGAGGCAGACAUGGUUGUGAUUCUACUUCGGAGUUAUUCCCUCAUUUUGUUCUUUCUGAUCACAAGCCUGAUGCCUAGUCUCCCUGAUCAUAAUUAUGCUGUUUUGUAUUAGCUGCUUUAGGUCUCAUACUAAUAGUUGUAUGAGAACCUUAUAGAUAUGUAUGGUAAUGUAUAGAUGUAUUGUGACUUGAUCAUGUACUUGACUUUUGUAACCUCCUAUUUUAUUGUAUU
rnacentral:lncRNA from 1 species